rnacentral:rRNA from 1 species
UACGUAGGGGGCAAGCGUUGUCCGGAAUCAUUGGGCGUAAAGGGCGCGUAGGCGGUUAGAUUAGUCUGAUGUGAAAGACCUGGGCUUAACCUGGGAUGUGCAUUGGAAACGGUCUAGCUAGAGUUUGGGAGAGGGAAGUGGAAUUUCCGGUGUAGCGGUGAAAUGCGUAGAGAUCGGAAAGAACACUCGUGGCGAAGGCGACUUUCUGGCCCAAAACUGACGCUGAGGCGCGAAAGCGUGGGGAGCAAACAGG